AGAGAGAGACAUGCGCGCAUAUCAAUAAGCGGAGGAAAAGAAACUAACAAGGAUUCCCCUAGUAACGGCGAGUGAAGCGGGAAGAGCUCAAAUUUGAAAUCUUAAAGGGUUUCCCUUUACGAAUUGUAGUUUAAAGAAGUGUUUUCUGUUGAGGUUUUGGUAAAAGUUCUUUGGAAUAGGACAUCAUAGAGGGUGAGAAUCCCGUAUUUGACCUUUACUUUCAACUUUGUGAUACACUUUCAAAGAGUCGGAUUGUUUGGGAAUGCAGUCCAAAAUGGGUGGUAAAUUUCAUCUAAAGCUAAAUAUUGGCGAGAGACCGAUAGCGAACAAGUACCGUGAGGGAAAGAUGAAAAGAACUUUGAAAAGAGAGUUAAACAGUACGUGAAAUUGUCAAAAGGGAAGCGUUUGACACCUGUGUUGUUUUUCUGAAAAUCAAUUAAAGAACUGUUUAUGCUAAGUUGUUUAGACUUUAUCAGCUAACUGUUUAGUUUUGAGCUUUUCUUUAAUGCACUUUUCAGUUAACAAGUCAACAUCAAUUUCUUUUGCUGUAAAAAAGCUUGAGGAAGGUGGCUUGAGAUUCGUCUUAAGUGUUUAUAGCCUCUUGCCUAUGCAGUCGGAGAGAUUGAGGUCUGCAGCGUAGAUCCUUCGGGGCUAAAUGCAUUUGUGCUAAGUUAUAGCAUUUUAUAGACAACUUGUUGACUAUGAUUUGUCUUGUAGCUUACUCGCUUAUGUUAUUUUACCUACGCUUAGGAUGUUGAGCGCAUGUCUCUCUCU
rnacentral:rRNA from 1 species